rnacentral:rRNA from 1 species
AGGAUGAACGCUGGCGGCGUGCCUAACACAUGCAAGUCGAACGUCCUGUCUCGCAAGAGGCAGGGAGUGGCGGACGGGUGAGUACCACGUGGGUCAUCUACCGUGAGGUGAGGAAUACCGGCGAGAAAUCGCCGACAAGACCGCAUAGGCUCGAUGCAAGUCGAGCAAAGCUCUUUCGAGAGAGGGAGCGCCACACGAGGAGCCUGCGCCCGAUUAGCUAGCUGGUGGAGUAACGGUUCACCAGGGCGACGAUCGGUAGCUGGUCUGAGAGGACGAGUCAGGCCACACUGGGAUUGAGAACGGCCCAGACUCCUACGGGGGGCAGCAGUGAGGAAUUUUCGUCAAUGGGGGCAACCCUGAACGAGCAACGCCGCGUGCAGGAAGAAGGUUUCGGAUCGUAAACUGCUUUUCUCAGGGAAGAGAAUGGACGGUACCCGAGGAACCAGCCCCGGCUAACGUACGUGCCAGCAGCCGC